GAUGAACGCUAGCUACAGGCUUAACACAUGCAAGUCGCGGGGCAGCAUGGGGGUUGCUUGCAAUCCCCGAUGGCGACCGGCGCACGGGUGAGUAACGCGUAUCCAACCUGCCCUUCACCACGGGAUAACCCGGCGAAAGUCGGACUAAUACCGUAUGUUAUCCAUUGACGGCAUCCGAUUUGGACGAAAGGUUUGGCGGUGAAGGAUGGGGAUGCGUCCGAUUAGCUGGACGGCGGGGUGACGGCCCACCGUGGCGACGAUCGGUAGGGGUUCUGAGAGGAAGGUCCCCCACACUGGAACUGAGACACGGUCCAGACUCCUACGGGAGGCAGCAAUGAGGAAUAUUGGUCAAUGGGCGUAAGCCUGAACCAGCCAAGUAGCGUGCAGGAUGACGGCCCUAUGGGUUGUAAACUGCUUUUAUGCGGGGAUAAAGUGGCCCACGUGUGGGUUUUUGCAGGUACCGCAUGAAUAAGGACCGGCUAAUUCCGUG
rnacentral:rRNA from 1 species